rnacentral:rRNA from 1 species
AAUCAAUGCUGGCGGCGUGCCUCAGACAUGCAAGUCGAACGCGAAAGUUCCCUUCGGGGAUGAGUAGAGUGGCGCACGGGUGAGUAACACGUAGGUAAUCUACCUUUGGAUGGGGAAUAACAACCGGAAACGGUUGCUAAUACCGCAUAAUGCAGCGGCACCUAAUGGUGACAGUUGUUAAAGCGGGGGAUCGAAAGACCUCGCGUCUGAAGAGGAGCCUGCGGCGGAUUAGCUAGUUGGUAAGGUAACGGCUUACCAAGGCGACGAUCCGUAGCCGGCCUGAGAGGGCGGUCGGCCACACUGACACUGACAUACGGGUCAGACUCCUACGGGAGGCAGCAGUCGGGAAUUUUGGGCAAUGGGCGAAAGCCUGACCCAGCAACGCCGCGUGAAGGAUGAAAUCCCUCGGGAUGUAAACUUCG